GGCUGAGCCCCGGUGCUCAAUGUCCGGUCGGUUUUAAACUCGGUCCCGCCCUGGCGCCCAGCUCUUCCGCCGCGGCGCGCUCCUGAUGAGUGCUGUGUCCAGGAUGAUCAUGAAUUCAAGGUAUGUGUUAGAUGGCAAGUUUGGCUUUCCAGGCAUAAUUCCAGGAACAGUUCUUGGCCAAGGAUGAGAACUCUAACCUGACUGGAUACGCUGCUGUGAUGGGUUAAAGGAUUUACCUGAGGCCAAUAGAACAGGCAGGAAUUUAAUGCAGUCACCCCAUGUCUUUUUAAAGUAGAUGAGGGGUUGGAGAAUGGAGUGAGAGGGCUUAGCAGUGCCAAGCCCGUUACCUUUGAUUCUGGGACCUGGUGGAGAGAGCCAGCUCUCUAGAGUUAUUCUUGCACCUUCAUGUGUGUGCUAGCACACGUGUGUGCACACUCAAAAUAAUAAAUGUAAUAAAUGGGAGCGUUGGUGAAUGUUUAAUACUUAGAGGGUGAUAUGGCUUUGCAUUUCAAGUUGUGUUCAAACAUUUCUGAGUAGAUCCACCCAAUGUACUGGGUAGUACAUUAAGUGUUCUAUUUAUACUAAAAGAUGGUUAAUGUCAACAUAGUCCACACAUGGGUGUGUUGCUUUAUUUAUUAAGUAAUGGUUGCAGAUGUACUUACCUCUGGUGUUCCUUCUGCAGCUCUGGAGCUUGAGAUGAACUGGUCCGACUUCUAGAAGAGAAGGUAGGCAUCUGUGUGUAGAGUCAAGGUUUUAGGUUACCUGUUCCCCUUCAUAUCGGGAACGGGUGAAUUCUGAGGCAUUCUCAUUGUAUAUAGAGAGCAUGAGAAUUUUGUGUCUGUAGAACGAAGUUCCAUUAUUUAGUUUUCUAUGCGUCAGCCCUACUCUGAAACAUGUCACAAUGUUAACAUAAAAGAUCUUUUGAAAAAAUUGGCUUUAUUUAUAAAAUUUUUACUUUUA
rnacentral:lncRNA from 1 species